GGAAUUUGACAAAGGUGAUGCGACUACGCGACGUCCCGGUGACGCUGCCAAAUCCCCGGACCAUUCAAAUUUCCAGUCGUCCACGAAAAAUGAAAAAAAGAAAUAAAUACCGUGGUACCAGCCACACCGACGUGUUAAGGGGGCGACGACGACAAAUAAUAAUGCCUGACAAAAUGGUUCGGGGUGCGCUGGUGGGGAUCUAGUUUACUACGAUAUAGAAAUAAUGUAUUAUUACGAGGUAAUAGUUAUCGAAAUACCUGAUCCGUAGUGUGACCUUUUAGUAGCACCAUUUUCUACGUCGCAAUCUAGUGGCCGUUUUCUUGAAUCCGCAAUUUCUGGGGAGGGACACGUCUCCAUUCCCGAGUCAGCGGCCAUCUUUACUUCGUUGUUUCGCGCACACGACGAACCAAACGACGACGACGAUGACGACGAUGAUGACGAUGACGGACCGAUCGACCGACCGCACCGACCGACCGACGUCGACCGCGAAGGCGACGACACAAUCGAGCCCGACAGACGGACAACAAACUGCACACAAUCACCACGUCGCCGCGACCUACGCGUCUCACUGGCAACUGAUCGCAGCUCCCUCGGAACUCCCUCGCUAAACCAGCUGGUUGCCUCCACAAGCACAACCUCCCUCCUUUCCUCCCUUGUCUCACUCGCUCUUUUUUCCCCCUUGCCUCUUUCACCCCCCCGUCAUCUGACCCUCCCGCUAUCUUUGACGGACGUAUCUCCCUUCCCCGUCCUGUUUGCUGCCAUGCGCCGCGAGGCGUCGCGAUUCCUAUCUCUGUCCCGCUUUGUCGCAUCUACGCUAGAUCCUAGUAGGAUUCGCUUCUAGUUCUUCUUGAACUCUUCCAAGUCUCUAUACCUUAGCAGGGACUGUCAAUGACCGCCGUUAUAUCUGCUUCUCGUCCAAAAUCCGCUAAUAAUAGAAAGGAACCGCGUCGACUAUACUCAAAACAGGCAACAAUUUCCAAUCGCUUUUGAUGUAGACGCAGAUACCGCACUAAAUGCGACGCUACUCUGUGUGGCGGCCAACGCGCAUGUAUUGGGAUGACCAGGGAGAAUUGUGCUGUAAUAUCCAACGACUCGUGCGUUUCGUUUUUGGAAACACAAUAUCA
rnacentral:misc_RNA from 1 species